ACUGAGGAUUGCCCAUGAGCUCCGCGAGACAUUUUUGGGUCAAGUGCGCUGGCUGGGCUGGAUGGACAGAGAAACCAAGGAAGUCGCUAUGAGGAAGAUUAAAGCCAUGAAGAUAGAAAUUUCUGACGGGAAGACAUCAGACGACGGGGUUGUUGACGUGUGGCAUGACGACUUUCCUUUUGCUGGGAUAGAGUUGAACUUCAGGCGGAAUGCGACUGCGAAAUUACUUAAGUGGCUCCUAAGAAAUGACACGGGUGAUGACUGCAAAGGGC
rnacentral:lncRNA from 1 species